CCUACGGGGGGCAGCAGUGAGGAAUAUUGGUCAAUGGACGAGAGUCUGAACCAGCCAAGUAGCGUGAAGGAUGACUGCCCUAUGGGUUGUAAACUUCUUUUAUAUGGGAAUAAAAUGUUCCACGUGUGGGAUUUUGUAUGUACCAUAUGAAUAAGCAUCGGCUAACUCCGUGCCAGCAGCCGCGGUAAUACGGAGGAUCCGAGCGUUAUCCGGAUUUAUUGGGUUUAAAGGGAGCGUAGGUGGAUUGUUAAGUCAGUUGUGAAAGUUUGCGGCUCAACCGUAAAAUUGCAGUUGAAACUGGCAGUCUUGAGUACGGUAGAGGUGGGCGGAAUUCGUGGUGUAGCGGUGAAAUGCUUAGAUAUCACGAAGAACUCCGAUUGCGAAGGCAGUUCACUGGACUGUGACUGACACUGAGGCUCGAAAGUGUGGGUAUCAAACAGGAUUAGAUACCCGGGUAGUC
rnacentral:rRNA from 1 species